rnacentral:rRNA from 1 species
AUGGUUCUGCCAGGUUUUGGAUGGCGACCACCCGAUGCGGGUGUUGUUAAAAUCAGCACGGGCGGAGCUCUGAACUUGGCUGAUGGACGAGGGGAUGCAGGUGGUGUCACUCGUUCGAAUACAGCGUUCCUAGGAGCAUGGAGUAAACCAUACUUAGGGGUGUCUGAUCCCCUGAUUAUUGAGGCUUUUGCGCUGCAAGGAGUUCGCUUGGCCACACUUCAAGGCUUCCUGCACGUCAUAAAUGGAGGUAGGCUGCCUGGAGCUGGUGACGCUCUGGAGAACUCGCUACAAUUCCCGUUCUAUUGUGGCUCCAAUCUUAUUAGAAAUAGGAGAGCUUAUUAG